rnacentral:rRNA from 1 species
GAUGAACGCUGGCGGCGUGCUUAACACAUGCAAGUCGAACGAGAAGUGAAGACGGAAACCUUCGGGCGGAAGGCUUUAUUUCGAGUGGCGGACGGGUGAGUAACGCGUGGGUAACCUGCCUCAUACAGGGGGAUAACAGUUGGAAACGACUGUUAAUACCGCAUAAGACCACAGCACCGCAUGGUGCGGGGGUAAAAACUCCGGUGGUAUGAGAUGGACCCGCGUUCGAUUAGCCAGUUGGCGGGGUAACGGCCCACCAAAGCGACGAUCGAUAGCCGAUCUGAGAGGAAGACCGGCCACAUUGGGACUGAGACACGGCCCAAACUCCUACGGGAGGCAGCAGUGGGGAAUAUUGCACAAUGGGGGAAACCCUGAUGCAGCGACGCCGCGUGAGUGAAGAAGUAUUUCGGUAUGUAAAGCUCUAUCAGCAGGGAAGAAAAUGACGGUACCUGAGUAAGAAGCCCCGGCUAACUACGUG